rnacentral:lncRNA from 1 species
UAAUACAUGUCUCCUAACUAGAGUUUAAUUCUAAUUCAAUUAGAAUUACACUCCUAAUUAUAAUGCAUAUAUGCCAAAUUAAAUCUAAAUUAUAUAUAAUCACUAUAACAGAAUUAGGUUAUAGGGACACAUGUUUGGGACACUUUUGAGUAAGUGUCCCAUUUAUGCUAAAACUUAAAAAAACGUCUACUAAUGCCUAAAUAUAAAGCCCAAUCCAACCAAAAAUAAAAGAUUACUCUACUCAACCCACCACACCCAGUCCAUUUGGCCCGAUUACUAACAAAAAAGAAAAAAAAAGAAAAAUCAAUUACCAUCUUUUCUUCUUUCUUCACUCAAUCCACUGAAAGUCUAGACGAAGAGCCUUUCCUAUCGUCCUCCUCCGCCACCGCAGCCAACAAGAUAGAGUUUCGACAGUUGCUAAAUGCUUAAAU